rnacentral:rRNA from 1 species
UACGUAGGGUGCAAGCGUUAAUCGGAAUUACUGGGCGUAAAGCGUGCGCAGGCGGUUUUUCAAGACAGAUGUGAAAUCCCCGGGCUUAACCUGGGAAUGGCAUUUGUGACUGCACGGCUAGAGUGUGUCAGAGGGGGGUAGAAUUCCACGUGUAGCAGUGAAAUGCGUAGAGAUGUGGAGGAAUACCGAUGGCGAAGGCAGCCCCCUGGGAUAACACUGACGCUCAUGCACGAAAGCGUGGGGAGCAAACAGG